rnacentral:snoRNA from 1 species
UGAUGAUGGUGAGGGAAAUUUCUAAGCAUGCUCUUAAAUCUUUCCCAAGCUUGGUAAAGAUUUUCUCCUUCUUUUUUCCCAAAACUCAAAAUCUCACUUCUCAAACG